CCUACGGGCUGCAGCAGUGGGGAAUAUUGCACAAUGGGCGCAAGCCUGAUGCAGCCAUGCCGCGUGUAUGAAGAAGGCCUUCGGGUUGUAAAGUACUUUCAGCGGGGAGGAAGGCGAUAAGGUUAAUAACCUUGGUGAUUGACGUUACUCGCAGAAGAAGCACCGGCUAACUCCGUGCCAGCAGCCGCGGUAAUACGGAGGGUGCAAGCGUUAAUCGGAAUUACUGGGUGUAAAGCGCACGCAGGCGGUCUGUCAAGUCGGAUGUGAAAUCCCCGGGCUCAACCUGGGAACUGCAUUCGAAACUGGCAGGCUAGAGUCUUGUAGAGGGGGGUAGAAUUCCAGGUGUAGCGGUGAAAUGCGUAGAGAUCUGGAGGAAUACCGGUGGCGAAGGCGGCCCCCUGGACAAAGACUGACGCUCAGGUGCGAAAGCGUGGGGAGCAAACAGGAUUAGAUACCCGCGUAGUC
rnacentral:rRNA from 1 species